rnacentral:rRNA from 1 species
UACGUAGGGCGCAAGCGUUUGUCCGGAAUUAUUGGGCGUAAAGAGCUCGUAGGCGGUUUGUCGCGUCUGCUGUGAAAGUCCGAGGCUCAACCUCGGAUCCGCAGUGGGUACGGGCAGACUAGAGUGUGGUAGGGGAGACUGGAAUUCCUGGUGUAGCGGUGGAAUGCGCAGAUAUCAGGAGGAACACCAGUGGCGAAGGCGGCUCACUGGCCCGGUACUGGACGC